GACGAACGCUGGCGGCGUGCUUAACACAUGCAAGUCGAACGGAAAGGCCCUGCUUUUGUGGGGUGCCCGAGUGGCGAACGGGUGAGUAACACGUGAGCAACCUGCCCUUGACUUUGGGAUAACUUCAGGAAACUGGGGCUAAUACCGUAUAGCAUCUCCUGCUGCAUGGUGGGGGGUGGAAAGUUUCGGCGGUUGGGGAUGGAUUCGCGGCUUAUCAGCUUGUUGGUGGGGUAGUGGCUGACCAAGGCUGUGACGGGUAGCCGGCCUGUGAGGGUGGCCGGCCACAUUGGGACUGAGGUACGGACCAGACUCCUACGGGAGGCAGCAGUGGGAAAUAUUGCACAAUGGGCGGACGCCUGAGGCAGCAACGCCGCGUGCGUGAUGACGGCCUUCGGGUUGUAAACCGCUUUCGCCUGUGACGAAGCGUGAGUGACGGUAAUGGGUAAAGAAGCACCGGCUAACUACGUG
rnacentral:rRNA from 1 species